rnacentral:rRNA from 1 species
CGCCUCUUGACUAAAAAUAAGAGGUCCCGCCUGCCCAGUGACUCAUGUUCAACGGCCGCGGUAUCCUAACCGUGCGAAGGUAGCGUAAUCACUUGUUCUUUAAAUGGGGACUAGUAUGAAUGGCACCACGAGGGUUAUACUGUCUCCCUUUUCCAAUCAGUGAAACUAAUCUCCCUGUGAAGAAGCAGGGAUAAAAAUAUAAGACGAGAAGACCCUAUGGAGCUUUAAAUUUCAAUUCAAAUGCCCUCCAACCCUAAAAGUUUCCAACUUUAUUCUCACAAACCAGGCAUAGUGAAAUAGAAUUUUAGGUUGGGGUGACCGCGGAGUACAAAACAACCUCCACAUUGAACUAGGCCUAUUACCUUGAGCAACGAACUACAAUCCUAUGCACAAAAAAAUUUUCAUUCAUUGACCCAAUUUUUUUGAUCAACGAACCAAGUUACCCUAGGGAUAACAGCGCAAUCCUCUUCAAGAGCCCCUAUCGCCAAGAGGGUUUACGACCUCGAUGUUGGAUCAGGGUAUCCCAGUGGCGCAGCCGCUACUAAUGGUUCGUUUGUUCAACGAUUAAAACCC